rnacentral:rRNA from 1 species
GAUGAACGCUGGCGGCGUGCUUAACACAUGCAAGUCGAACGGAAAGGCUCCUGCUUGCAGGGGUACUCGAGUGGCGAACGGGUGAGUAACACGUGGGUGAUCUGCCCUGCACUUCGGGAUAAGCCUGGGAAACUGGGUCUAAUACCGGAUAGGACGAUGGUUUGGAUGCCAUUGUGGAAAGUUUUUUCGGUGUGGGAUGAGCUCGCGGCCUAUCAGCUUGUUGGUGGGGUAAUGGCCUACCAAGGCGUCGACGGGUAGCCGGCCUGAGAGGGUGUACGGCCACAUUGGGACUGAGAUACGGCACAGACUCCUACGGGAGGCAGCAGUGGGGAAUAUUGCACAAUGGGCGCAAGCCUGAUGCAGAGACGCCGCGUGGGGGAUGACGGCCUUCGGGUUGUAAACUCCUUUCGCUAGGGACGAAGCGCAAGUGACGGUACCUGGAGAAGAAGCACCGGCUAACUACGUG